GCGGAAGUAGUUCAGUGGUAGAACAUCACCUUGCCAAGGUGGGGGUCGCGGGUUCGAAUCCCGUCUUCCGCUCCU
rnacentral:tRNA from 1 species